rnacentral:rRNA from 1 species
CCCUUAGAUGUCCUGGGCCGCACGCGCGCUACACUGACAUGUUCAACAAGCCUCCUAGUUCGACAGGAUUUGGGAAAUCUUUGAACGCAUGUCGUGAUAGGGAUAGAUCAUUGCAAUUAUUGAUCUUGAACGAGGAAUUCCUAGUAAACGCGAGUCAUCAGCUCGCAUUGAUUACGUCCCUGCCCUUUGUACACACCGCCCAUCGCACCUACCGAUUGAAUGUUUCGGUGAAGAUUCCGGAUAGGACUUUUUUGAUUUAUUUCAAUUCUGUCUUAAAAGCUAUCUAAACCUCAACAUUUAGAGGAAGGUGAAGUCGUAACA